rnacentral:snoRNA from 1 species
AAGACUAUACUUUCAGGGAUCAUUUCCAUAGUUGAUCACUAAAACAAAGUCAAUGCAAACAUGACCAAUAAAAUGUGAGUAAAAUGUGUGACACUUUCACA